rnacentral:lncRNA from 13 species
AAUGGAGAUGUUACUCAGCAGAGUGGAGUCCUACAGGGAAAUGGAGACGUUACUCAGCAGAGUGGAGUCCAACGGGGAAACGGAGACAGCAGUCAGCAAAGUGAAGUCCCACAGGGAAAUGGAGACGUUACUCAGCAGAGUGGAGUCCUACAGGGAAAUGGAGACGUUACUCAGCAGAGUGGAGUCCCACAGGGAAAUGGAGACGUUACUCAGCAGAGUGGAGUCCCACAGGGAAAUGGAGACGUUACUCAGCAGAGUGGAGUCCCACAGGGAAAUGGAGACGUUACUCAGCAGAGUGGAGUCCCACAGGGAAAUGGAGACGUUACUCAUUAGAGUGGAGUCCCACAGGGAAAUGGAGAUGUUACUGAGCAGAGUGGAGUCCCACAGGGAAAUGGAGAUGUUACUGAGCAGAGUGGAGUCCUACAGGGACAUGGAGAUGUUACUCAGCAGAGUGGAGUCCUACAGGGAAAUGGAGACGCUACUCAGCAGAGUGGAGUCCCACGGGGAAACGGAGACAGCAGUCAGCAAAGUGGAGACCCACAGGGAAAUGGAGACGUUACUCAGCAGAGUGGAGUCCUACAGGGAAAUGGAGACGUUACUCAGCAGAGUGGAGUCCCACAGGGAAAUGGAGACGUUACUCAGCAGAGUGGAGUCCCACAGGGAAAUGGAGACGUUACUCAGCAGAGUGGAGUCCCACAGGGAAAUGGAGACGUUACUCAGCAGAGUGGAGUCCCACAGGGAAAUGGAGACGUUACUCAGCAGAGUGGAGUCCUACAGGGAAAUGGAGAUGUUACUCAGCAGAGUGGAGUCCUACAGGGAAAUGGAGACGUUACUCAACAGAGUGGAGUCCUACAGGGAAAUGGAGACGUUACUCAACAGAGUGGAGUCCUACAGGGAAAUGGAGACGUUACUCCACAGAGUGGAGUCCCACAGGGAAAUGGAGACGUUACUCAACAGAGUGGAGUCCCACAGGGAAAUGGAGACGUUACUCAACAGAGUGGAGUCCUACAGGGAAAUGGAGAUGUUACUCAGCAGAGUGGAGUCCUACAGGGAAAUGGAGACAGCAGUCAGCAAAGUGGAAUCCCAAGGGGAAACGGAGAUGUUACUCAGCACAGUGGAGUCCCACGAGGAAACGGAGAAGGCACUCAGCAGCGUGGAGUCCCACGCGGUAACACAGACUGCACUCAGCAGCGUGGAGUCCCACGCGGUAACACAGACUGCAGUCAGCAGAGUGGAGUCCCACGGGGGAAACGUAGAGAGACGAUAAUGUACUUCUGAAAUAUGACCCCGUCCUUCACACAUUAUAGGCUUUUAUAGUCGAUGUCACUACCAUACCAACUCCACUAGGCAGAAUUUCAUUAAUCCUGUAAACUCACUAACUACAUGUUCAAUGGGAUAUAGUGGACCAGUGCUCUACCUACACCCUUCAAAGGAUUCUUCCAGGUUAAUUCUGAAAUCCAUCUAUACAACACAAGACACCGCGAUAACCUUCACCCUCCCCACUGCCGCACCUCACAUAAUUCUCUGUCAGAUACAGAGGUACCAUACUCUGGAAUUGUUAUCUUAUCAUUUAAAUUAGUGAAUAGUAUUCUAAGCAGGUCCUCCUUGUCUUGGCUGUAUAAACAUCCUCUGGUCGCUGUAGGGGCUAGAGGUUACUGAUUUCUUCACAUUUUACAAAAUACAACUGUCAAAUCAAAUAGUUUGAGUCUAGCCGGCUGCUGAUUGGAACGAUUAGGAAUUAUUUUUGAGUGGAUUAAUGCUGUGGGUAACUAACACCAGUCUGUAGUUGCUAAGACUGUACAAUGUUAGGAGAUCCUAUAGCCCACUAUCCUAUCCUGCAGGAGUGUAAGAAGGCUACAAAAAAACAUCAUUGAUCUAGAAUGAGAGUUGUGAACAACCAAGUAGCCUAUAUAUAUGAAAACUAACAAAGUGAACAGGGACGAAAAGCACAACAUGUGAUCACCACACUGACAGCGUGAGUAUAACAUAGCACAGCGUUAGAAGAUACGGGAUUGGGCUGUGCUUUCAGGCGUUCGUUCUCAAUAAUCCCCCAAGCCUAAUAAAGCGCUGCACUAUAUCAUUGGCAUUACAUAUUCACGAGCUGCGCGCGGCCAGGUGGAUUUGUUGUAAGCUGACACACGCACACGGACACACACACACACACACACGCACGACACACACAUGCACGGACACACGCACGGACACACACGCACCGACACACACAGACAAAUAGAUCAAGCGUUGAAAGUUGUUUCUUCCGCUGUGUGUCAGACUGUCAACUUUGGUGUGAGUUUUGUGACUAUUAUUCCUGUGCAGCAUAUAGACUUGUUUAGGCAAGAGCUGUUCCCAUUAAUUUGGGGCUAAUCACCAGGAUCAUUUUCAGUAGAAAAUAAAAUGUGCCUUCUCUCCCAUGAACCAAAAGUGGUGAAACUCUGCUGGUAACCCUCAUGUAACACCUAUGCACAAAUAGGCCUAGGUUAUCUCUUUAGAUGCACUAAAUGAAUCAGAUUGUAUUCAGAGAUUUAAUUAAGGAGUUAGAGGUCGUCUGCAUUUGACUUUUCUCGACUGGAACAUGUUGUUUGGAGUGUGGAGGUUGGUGGACAGGAUUUUAAGGAGACCUUUUUACAGCUGCGGCUGGCAGAUGGAGAAAAGUGCCAGCACACGACUCGAAAUCAACGAUGAAUGACACACGGAAUUGAUUCAGUCUACUGUAUUAUUUGAAUUGGCUGGUAGACAGUUCAUUAAAUGACAGUUGGAUGACAAUGAAAGUAUGAGUGCGAGAGAUAGAGUGAGAGAGACUACAGACACGGGGCUUCGCUGUCCAUGGUGCUGAAAGAACAGCUCCCAGCCUUAAUUGAGCGGGUUGGGUUUUUGUAACUUGGUGCAACUGAGUGCUAGAUUGGAAGACUUUCAGCUUCACUGUAGGCUACCUUUUGCACAGUAGACAGCUGUUGAAGGAGACUAAAAUUAUGUUCUAGUAGUGGAAGGCUUUUCUGUGUGCCCAGAGACCACUCUUAACACAUUAUCAAUCCCAGCAAUGCUCAAAUCACCUGAAAUCAGCCAACGGAAGUUCAUACACACAAAACGACCCAGAACAAUAAUUAACAAAAAUGCAUUUCAAAAUCAUAGAACUACCAUAGGUAGGUUACAGAAUAAUCGUAAACAUGGCGUAAGUCAUUAACGCAUAGGCUACAAUGUAAUCUUUAAACGAUUGACGUAAAUGCAUUUGAAACAGCAACGUGACUGCUGGAUACUGAUGUGUAGCCUACCUGGUUGAUGCACAGGGCAAAACGCUUCCUUUCCCGCGCGCCAGCCAGACUCCCGCCACGCAGCCCCGUGCCUUCCCCUUGAAACAUGUUCCUGGAAUGACACAAGCCAAAGUUAUGCCAAUUAGUCUAAUGUCCAAAUUUUCACUGUAAAAUAGAGAUGUCUCCGAGUGAGAAGCAGCUGACUAUAGUAGGUCUCUCCAUAUAGGUGCUGGCAAAAACCUAUAGAGCUUGUUCUGCUCGCUAGAGCUUGAUGUAGGAUUCCAUUACUCAAACUAAAUUGAAACAGAAUACGUCACUUAUCAAACAUGCAUGACGCAUCAACAGCCUAUAAUAUGAUUGACUAACCGAUAAUUGCCGGUCCUCAACAUAGCUGGCUAUGCCACGGUCAGAUAGAGAGACAGCAGCGGAGAGUGCAGUAGAGUAGCCCCACUGUCAGAAAGAGCCGACUUGGGAAUUGUUCUCUCAUCCAAUAAGAUGUUAGGGUCGUGUAUGAUAGGCUAUAUACUGCAUGUGUGUCGCGGCAAAGGGGGAGUAAUUUAGUCCUGUAAUCAACAUAAAUCACCAGUUUGUUAGCUCUCUCUGCAAAGCAUGGCGGGAAAAUAUAUAUUACCUCACUUACGGCUAACCGGGAAGGAAUUUACAAUCCUCAUGUGCCGCCAGUGGACCUUCAGUCGCCAGUCAUGGAGUCAGACAUGGGAGAUGAAUAUGCUGGGCACAUAGAUUGAAUACCAUGUAUUUAUUUGACAAUAGAAUACUGAUGAAGGUUUAGGCUUGUCUGAGGUGUCCUUGUUUGUGGCCAUUAAUGUUUUUCUUCCGAAAAGUCCUCAUGAAAAUCAAAGCACAUUGAUGAUUACAUUUUGUCAAUGUAAU